UGAAUUUAAGCAUAUCACUAAGCGGAGGAAAAGAAACUAACAAGGAUUCCCCUAGUAGCGGCGAGCGAAGAGGGAAGAGCCCAGCACCGAACCUCGCACCUUCGGGUGUCGCGGAAUGUGGUGUUCAGGAGGACCGUGCGCGUCUGUCCGGUAUCGUCCAAGUCUCCAUGAAUGGGGCCAGUUACCCAGAGAGGGUGUCAGGCCCGUGGGACGAGCCGCGACCGUGCAUUGGGUCUCUCCUUAGAGUCGGGUUGCUUGAGAGUGCAGCCCUAAGCGGGAGGUAAACUCCUUCUAAGGCUAAAUACGGCCACGAGACCGAUAGCAAACAAGUACCGCGAGGGAAAGUUGAAAAGAACUUUGAAGAGAGAGUUCAAGAGUGCGUGAAACCGUUCAGGGGGUUAAACGGGUGGGCCCUCGAAGGUCGAAAGGUCCUCACUCCCGGUCACUGCAGUUCGGCCCGCGCCGCUCUCGAUUCCGCUACGGAACGAAGUGGUGCGGCUCGCCGGGCUACGGGGGCCGUUAGCUGAGGGCCCGGUAGGACUCCGCAACCGGCUGGGAGGCCGUCAGAAGGGCUCUGUGAGGAAGCUCCCUCGUGGAGUGGAUUCCGGGGUUCCGGGCGGUCCUCUCGGCCGUGAACCGAGAUUUCCGCCUUCACGGGUAGGAAUUGGCGGAGAGUAGAGUCGGGUCCCACCCGACCCGUCUUGAAACACGGACCAAGGAGUCUAACAUGUGCGCGAGUCGUCGGGUACUACUAAACCCGAAGGCGCAAUGAAAGUGAAGGCCGCCCUCGUUGGCGGCCUAGGGGAGAUCCCGUUCUGCUCCGGUAGCUCGGGCGCAUCCCCGGGGCGUCGAAGCCGCGUUGCCGGCUAGACGCACCAAGAGCGUACACGUUGGGACCCGAAAGAUGGUGACCUAUGCCUGGCCAGGACGAAGCCAGGGGAAACCCUGGUGGAGGUCCGCAGCGAUUCUGACGUGCAAAUCGAUCGUCUGAGUUGGGUAUAGGGGCGAAAGACUAAUCGAACCAUCUAGUAGCUGGUUCCCCCCGAAGUUCCCUCAGAAG
rnacentral:rRNA from 1 species